UGCAAAGCACGCCAGGAUCCCAGCCAGCCCAGGACGGGGAGGGCCUGGGAGAGAUUCUCACUGCCUGGGGAUACAAAGCCUGCAUCCCAGCCAGCCGAGGAGGGGGAGGACCUUGGGAGAGCUUCCACUGCUGCAGGGAAGCCGGGCUAGUGACUGGGGCCGCAUCCACAGGUGUCUGGGGGCUGCGCCACACAGAGCAUGGAGGUGAUGCUUUCCUGUAACACUGCACGAAGAGGAAGAGACCAAGUACUGUCUUCUAUGGGAGGGCAUGGCAGGAAGGCACCAUCUGAGCCCGGAAGUGGGUCCUCACCAGACACUGCCGUCACCUCCGCGCUGGACCUGCAGCCUCCAGAACUGUGAGAAAUGAAUUCUGCUGUUCAUUUAUGGGCCCCC
rnacentral:lncRNA from 1 species